GGUAUGCACGAUAGGUGGAGAGAUCCCCCGUGCAUCCAGCGCUGCAAUAAAGAAUAUACCACUUAAAGGAAUUUCGGCUUCGAUCUUUGAAUCAAAGAAUAAAUUAGUAAUGCAAAUGAAGUAUUUAAAAAUAUCUGAUAUCACUAUAACACUUACUCAUGUAUUUACGCAUGUACUGAUCUAUGUAUUUUGAAAUAUAGAUUCCAAGUAUUGGCAAAGAUACUGCGCCCUAUGUUGACUUCCUGUUCACUAAAGUUGCAGAAAGUAGCAGCGUGCUAAAAAGAUCAAACAGCCAAGGUUGCCAGACAAUGACAUUAAGGCAGCUGGAAUUACUGCUCAAGGAGAAAUGAUCAGAAUCAAGGAGCAGAAUGCCUGGAUCACACCAGAGUGAAAAAGACACCCUAGACUCCAUGGAAGGUUACUCAGGUGCAACCUGGAAGGUUACGUUUUCCACGGUCUUAUCAUUGGUCAAGGAAGCUGAACAGUGGGAGCACAAUACCUAAGAAGUGGAGCAUGUCCAUUUGGCAAGGUCAAUUGUGAACAUCUAGGGCAGAGAUAUGAACUUGAAAAUGUUAACAUAUACACUUGAAAAUGUUAACAUAUACACCAGAUGCUAACUUCCUGUGUAUAUGUUAAUAAACAAAAACAGGCUGAGGCUGCAGUAGCUCAGGAUGAUACACCCUGGGGAUUUACAGAUUUGGUAGAAAAAUUGACUUCCUGGUUGCCAAAAUUAACAUGGAUGAAGCAAUUGUUUAUCACAAUAAUCAUGGUCAUAGUUUUAUCCAUGGUUCUUUGCGUGGUGAACUGAUGUACCUUAUGGUAUUUUGAGAUUACAGGAAACUCUUACAGCAAGUGGAAAAAGAACCAACUCAGACGGAAACUGAAGUCUAACAAAUAUUUUGAAAGAGAAUUAGAUGGGGAAACACUGUACUGAACCUAGAAAUAGUAAAAAAAAUUACUAACUUUUUAGAAAAGGGGGGACUGAGAAAAGGAGUUAGGAGAAUCUUAGCAAAUAGAGAUAGACCACUGACAGUAUCAAAGUAGUGGAUGCUGCUUAACGUCUAACUAUUGUGCAUUCUGCAAAUUAAUUAAAGAAGCCUUGGGCCCCUUACCAAGGUUAGUAUCUUGAUAAGAGUGUGAGCCUAUCUUAAGAAACUGGCAGAAACUGGUCCUACGGAUGGACAAGAGCCAAGAAGCAACUGAGUCAGCGCAAGGACAUGAGGUCAACUAGCGGUGACGAGGAAGAGUCACCAACCUUCAUCCCCAUGAGCCCUGGCAACCACCACCAGGAGACAAUGUGCAAGUGCAGAGGGGAGAAGCUUAUGGAAAUGACUUCUUAAACUAAUUUUAACAUGAAUUGGGGACAGGUUAUGCCUAUGCAUAGGCACAUUGUGAAACUUCAUACAUAUGUAACACUUUACUGCAUAUAACCAUGGUAAGUUGCCACAUCAGGUGUGCAUGACUUUGGUGGGACUUCCCCCCAUGUUGCCCAGCACUGAAUAAGCAAACCUACUUUACAAUCUUACUGUUUGUGGAGUGUGUUUUCCACAAGUCAAAACCACCAUCCUUAUCAGUCUCUGUUAAUAUGUCAACCUGUACAUCAUAGCAGCUGAGGAGGCAGCACACAUUUGUGUCUGCUGUCACUCCUGUAUGGUGGCCAUUUCUAGCAGGGAGGCAGAGGGCAGUUGGAGGUUGUGGCUUCUAAAAUUGCUCUAAUGUGCAUUGCCAGGGUUUGUCAUCUGCGCACAGGGAGAACUCCAGCAAAAGUUGUUGCAUGGCAUAACAAUUUUACUCACCGAUCAAGUGGCAAAAUCCAGAAAAACAACUGGCAGUUUGUUACAGGAAUCUCAUCUAGGUCCCUCCAUUAGCAGGGAGUACAGAGGCUUCUCCUCCCUUUUCUCUACUCCACUGGUUUAAACAGCUUCACUGUUUCUGAAGUCAGUUUAUAGUAUGGAGUCCUAAGCUAUUAAAAAACAGUAAUUCCCACACACUGGAGUCAUAAACUACACAGAAUCACCCUGUAUUUUCAUACACUUUUCUUGCGUUCAUGUACUCUUGCAAGUCCACACAGCUCAGAUGUUAUCAAGACACUGGCUAUUAUACGCACCUGUGUAUAAGUUGAGCCUGAUAUCUGAAAAGAGGCUUUGUUCCAGUCUGCCUACAGAAUCUGCCAUCAUUCUUCCAUCUUUGCAAAGGAUAAUUUAUACACAGAUAAACUAGAACAGAGUGGAAUUGGUGUUGUUGACUUCCUAGCCACUCCCUGAAGAGAGAACAGCAAUUUUCACUGGAGUAGGACUCAGCAUUUGAGGUCUAAACCACAUUACGCUGAUAUCUGUCCAAGUUCUGUUUUUCAAUGAAGGCAUUCAUUUUUGCAGAUGCUCUUCCCAUCAUCACAAUAAAGCACAUAAUUGGUUGCAAUUAUUUGUCUUAUCUGUUUGAUACACAUAUACAACACCACAUGUAGCAGAAAUACUCAUCUGCGUGUUUCGUAAUUCAGACACUAGGGAACACGAGUCUGCAGAUCCUGUGGUAAAGAAGAAUGCGUUAUUUAGUGAUCAUACUGACAGGAUGUGACAGGAUGUAUUGAGAUUACACAUAAUAAUUUCUGUACUGUGUCCUUUCCAUGGGUGUGGUUCUUGGGUUUGGGAUGUUUUGUUAAUAUUAUUUGAUUUAGCUAAGUCUCUGUUAUUUCAUGCUCCCUCUAAACCUGUGCUUAUAACUGCUCAGUGGCAUUGUGUAUAACCAAGGAAAGACUAAAUAGCAUCAUAAUGGUGACUCAAGCCUAUGAAUCAUUAUUAUUGCCAGAACUAUUGGUGUCAUGUUGUAUUGGACUGAAAUGCUUGCAAAGAUCAGAUAGCCAAAGUCAGAAUUUCAGCACGGUGUCUGUAGGAAUGGGCUUUGACCAGGCAUUUGACUCCUCCACAUAACAGCCAAAAGCAAUGUGAUCAAGGGAUAGGAAAGAUUAACUCUAGGUGAAGGCAAUCCUUCCAGGUCUAGAAAGCAGAUUCCUAGCACACAGCAACAAGUCCAAAAUAAGGAGCUCCAGCAUAGCUGUAGAUACACAAUAGAUUAUCACAGAGGUUAUUCCUGUUAUAUUAAGUAAAGUUUUUUGGUUUGUACUAGCUGCUCCUCCUCCAGGUUGGUAGCUGGUGGCUCUCAUUUAGCUAGAUUCAGCAUUGGCACGUAUAGACACUUGGAUGUUAAAAACAUGGCCUUAGAACCCAACAGGUUUGCCUUUGGGGGCUGGCAAUUGUUUUCUCAUGCAGCAAAGGAGACAGACUGUGUCUAGGAAUGCGAGUAGGAUUCACUGCUGUCUUUUGAAACUUUAGAAGCCUUUUGAGCAGGUGGUAAGGAUGUAUUGCUCUUAUGCCCUCAGGAUUAAACAACUUCAGUAGAUUUUUGGUGCCAAUGAUGUUUUCUUCUGACUCACAUUCACAGGAAUGGUGGGAAAAUUUUGUCUUCCUCUGCAAAACUUCCACUGCAGAUGUCUACUCUCUUUAGUUGUGUCUUCUUGUGGCUCAUCACAUUUUGUAGGUUGUAGUUUUCUGUAUGAGACUAGGACUCCUCAGCAUGGAGCUGCUGAGACCUGUAAGAUAGAAGUCUACAAAAUUCCAAGUGAACAGUGGAUGGAAUAGUGACUGUAUCAUCUGUUACAAUGCGAGAACAAAGGAACAUCACAUUACACUAUCUGUUGGCAGUCUCUAAGAAGACAAAAGGAGUCCUUUGUCACACAGUGUGUAUUUAGAUGAUGAACUUACGGUCAUAGGAUGGUGUCAAUACCAGCACAAGGGAAUAAAAAAAAAAUUAAGUACUACUAAACAACAAGAUACAUAGUCCUGUACUCUCAAUUGUAUUCUUGCACAAACUAUUCCCCCUCUACUCUGCCCUGGUCAGGCCUCACCUGGAGUACUGGGUCCAGUUCUGGGCUCCCUGGUACAAAAAAGACAGGGAUCUCCUGGAAAGAGUCCAGUGGAGGGCAACAAAGAUGAUACAGGGCCUGGAGCAUCUUCCCUAUGACGGAAGAGUGAGACCUGGAUCUGUUCACCCUGGAGAAAAGAAGACUGAGAGGAGAUCUUAUCAAUGCUUAUAAAUACC